AGCGAACGCUGGCGGCAGGCUUAACACAUGCAAGUCGAGCGGGCAUCUUCGGAUGUCAGCGGCAGACGGGUGAGUAACACGUGGGAACGUACCCUUCGGUUCGGAACAACUCUGGGAAACUGGAGCUAAUACCGGAUACGCCCUUAUGGGGAAAGGUUUACUGCCGAAGGAUCGGCCCGCGUCUGAUUAGCUAGUUGGUGGGGUAACGGCCUACCAAGGCGACGAUCAGUAGAUGGUCUGAGAGGAUGAUCAGCCACACUGGGACUGAGACACGGCCCAGACUCCUACGGGAGGCAGCAGUGGGGAAUAUUGGACAAUGGGGGCAAGCCUGAUCCAGCCAGGCCGCGUGAGUGAUGAAGGCCUUAGGGUUGUAAAGCUCUUUUGUCCGGGACGAUAAUGACGGUACCGGAAGAAUAAGCCCCGGCUAACUUCGUG
rnacentral:rRNA from 1 species